rnacentral:lncRNA from 1 species
UGCUAAAUUAACUAAUCUUGGAAACUUCUAGACUCUACAAUUCUUGUUGUAUGAGAGUGGAUUGACAAUUAUUCUCUGGACUUUUUGGUAACCAAGAACUUCUAGCAACUAACCCUGGCAUGACCACCAGAAUCUGCAGGGCUGAGAGAAGAAAGAAAGGCAAAAGUGGAUGAAUGCAGCUGAAGAUGCUGUGGAACUCCUAUCACAUUCCAAGUGCUGUGUUGAUAUCUGGAGAUAUAGACAAGAUCGAAGCAGAUGCAGUCUUUCACAUGAAUAUUUGAAUCAGGUAGUAUGUUCCCCAAAUUAGCAAAGUAUCUCCCAGAUUUUUUCUUUGAUGAUAUAUUUGAAAUCCUAAUGCUGAAAGUUAAAUUAUCAGGGUUUUAAAACUAGAAGCAGUCAUUAUCAGAAUUUUAUAUAC